ensembl:lncRNA
GUUAAUUUGCUAGCUGCAGGUUUUUUCUUUCAUUCAAGUACCAUCACUGCAAGUGGUCGACCAGAGCACUAUAUGUAACUGUAGCGGUGUAAUAAGCUAUCAGUGGAGCGUAUAACCUCGGAGAGACGUUAUAUUACCGUGGAAAGAGUAUAACAGAUAACAGCUAGCUGUUAAGACUUAGAUACUAGUGCACAUGUGGUUUUUGCUAAGAAGUUAGCGAACAGCCAACUGGAGGAGCAGAGACUGUGUUUGUCACGGAGAAAAGAGCUGUGGACUUCGCGGAUGACUGUCUCCAUUUUGUUUGAGGCUUCUACGCACUCCAGCUACAUUCAGGCCUGCAACGGGGAACUUGGGUUUUCAGAAGAACCUGUAGCAUUUUUAAACAGACUUGAAGAGAAGAGGUUCUUCUACAGAGAUUUAAGGACAUCACAGUUACUUACAUUCAGAGGAAACAGGUGUGUUACAGUGCCAUCUCUCCACUAUGUUAAUAACAGAUCUGUGUGUGUGUGUCUGUGUGUGUCUGUGUAUGUGUGUGUGUUAUACUUGUGAUUUAUGGCCUUCUGUAUGUAGGGCUUUUUUUCUUUCAUUUUGACUUACAAUUCAUCAGAAAAGUAAUAAAGCAGGAAGAAUGACACACAAUUUCAAAUCAUUCUCUUUUGAUUAACUAUGAGCAUGAAAAACAUCAGCACCUUAAUUAGCCAUGAUGUCUGCAACAUCUGCAAAACAACACACACACACACACACACACACACACACACACACACACACACAUUGUAAUACACACAAAAACAAACUGCUGUGAAAAUGAUCCUUAAUUACACUCAGCAUUAGCAGCGUCACAUUUGAACACUGCUGCGGCGUAAAACAAAGACAUUAAUGUUGAGAAAAAUAAACAUUUUAUUAAAAACAACAUGAACUGAAAUAAGUAAGUAAUAACACACUUUAGGUUGUGGUGUUAUAGGAAAAUAAUCAACACAGUGGUUGUGUGAUGAAGUGUUAUGUGAAGAGUUACUUUUACAAACUGCUGACACUGGAGACUCCUUCCAGAAUUUUAAAAUAAAUUUCUCCUUACAAAUAAUUUAACCACAUCAUUUAUUGUUUACACACAAUUCUAUUUUAAUCUGUUUAUGCGGCAUGUCUGCUGUACACGUCCCUGUGAACAAGCCGUUACUAUAGCAACCAUAACGCAUCAGAACGACUGCAUUAAUAAAACCCUGCGCUAUUGUCAGAGUCGCUGUUAUAGAAAACUCAUCAACGCCUUCAGAUCCAAGAGUUCUACUGCUUUGUGGUAUACACACAGGUAAUAAUUAUAGGUUUUUUCUUGUUUUUAUUUACAUAGUUUACUUAUUUAGUUUUGAACCCCUCUGUUUAUCCUUGAUGUUUUUCACAUAUUUGUGUCAUUUUAAAUGCUGCCUUAGUUUGGCACUAACGCUAAGCUCAGCAUUUAGCAUAAUAUUUAUUUAGAAUGAAGUGUAGGUUUUCUUGCACAAGGCAUCGAGGGAUUGAGAAGUAUUUAUAGAGCUGAGAUAUAGAGAUGUUUAGAUUUUAUUUAUGUAAAGAUUUUGAAUGUAAUUUUAAAGCUUUCUGUAAAUUGUGCUUAACAUUUAAUCAUUGACUACGUUUACAUGGACAGCAGUAAUCUAAUUAUUGACCUUACCCUGAGUAAGAUAAUAAUGUGAUUAAGGUGUUUACAUGAGUCGCUUUUAGAAUACUCCUGUCAUGUUCCCGUUUUACAUGUUUUAGAAUAUAAUUAGAUUAACAGCCCGCGUCAUUACGUCACCGCGCUACGCCAUCCGACGUCCCUAGAAUUUCACGUAUCAACAUACAGUUCAUCUUCGUUAUGGGACCGUAUACAGUUUUGGGUGUUUUUAUUAAUUUUUUUUACGAAUGCUUUAAGUGCAGUUAAUUAUUUGUCAUGCGGUACGUGCUAUUAGACAACUGCUUGAAGCCGUGGGUGAGUCCCAAAUCGCGUUCAUAAUGUGAUUAAGGUGUUUACAUGUCUGUAAUACACGUCCAUAAUGCGACUAAAACAGGAAUACUCCACCUGUCUUAAUUCGAUUAUUGCUUAAUUCGAGUAUGACCUUAAUUAGAUUAAGGUAAUUAAUGUAUGGUCUUAAUCGGGUUAAGAGUGGAUUAUUGUUGUCCAUGUAAACG